CCCACAUUGGUACUGAGACACGGACCAAACUCCUACGGGGGGCAGCAGUGAGGAAUAUUGGUCAAUGGGCGUAAGCCUGAACCAGCCAAGUCGCGUGAGGGAUGAAGGUUCUAUGGAUCGUAAACCUCUUUUAUAAGGGAAUAAAGUGCGGGACGUGUCCCGUUUUGUAUGUACCUUAUGAAUAAGGAUCGGCUAACUCCGUGCCAGCAGCCGCGGUAAUACGGAGGAUCCGAGCGUUAUCCGGAUUUAUUGGGUUUAAAGGGUGCGUAGGCGGCCUUUUAAGUCAGCGGUGAAAGUCUGUGGCUCAACCAUAGAAUUGCCGUUGAAACUGGGAGGCUUGAGUAUGUUUGAGGCAGGCGGAAUGCGUGGUGUAGCGGUGAAAUGCUUAGAUAUCACGCAGAACCCCGAUUGCGAAGGCAGCCUGCCAAGCCAUGACUGACGCUGAUGCACGAAAGCGUGGGGAUCAAACAGGAUUAGAUACCCUGGUAGUCCACGCAGUAAACGAUGAUCACUAGCUGUUUGCGAUACAGUGUAA
rnacentral:rRNA from 1 species